rnacentral:rRNA from 1 species
UACGGAGGGGGCUAGCGUUAUUCGGAAUGAUUGGGCGUAAAGGACGCGUAGGCGGCUUUGUUAGUCUUUAGUGAAAUCCCCGAGCUUAACUUGGGAAUUGCUUAGGAUACUGCAGAGCUAGAGUAUGGGAGAGGUAAGUGGAAUCUUUGGUGUAGAGGUGAAAUUCUUAGAUAUCAGAGAGAACGUCAGUGGCGAAAGCGACUUACUGGAACAUAACUGACGCUGAGGCGUGAAAGCGUGGGGAGCAAAAGGG